AUCAGUGCCCGCGACGGAGGCGACUUCCGACGGAAAAAGUAGCGGGAGGCCGGAAAUUAUUGUCUUUGGCCUCUGGUUCUGCGAGCCGAUUGUGUUUUCGUACCGUCAACCUCCAGUCACAAAUGCUGGAAUCUGCUUUAUAAGGCAAUAGGAAAAAGACAGAAGCCAAAAUACAAGGAUUCUACUCAAGCCUUCUGGAAAGGACUGUGUUGCCUUUGAUGCAUGGAGCAAAGAAUUCUUAGAUUUUCCUGCCAGCCCCUGAAACCGGACCUGUGAUGUCAAGUUGGGUUUUGUUGUUGUUUGUUUUAACCUGCCAUGAGAUGGGUUGACAGGAUCAAUCAUUUUACACCAUGAUCCCUUGUCCCUGGGAGGACUGUCUGAGACAUUAGAGAAAUGGGAUACAGACUUCCUCACUGGGCUGGGGGAGCUGGCUCAGGUGCAGAGUACUUGCCACGAUAUGAAGAUCCACUUUUAAAAUAAAUCAAACAUAGUCAAGCAUAA
ensembl:antisense 0610040B10Rik RIKEN cDNA 0610040B10 gene